GUAGUAAAUGAUGCAUCAAAUGCAUGUUGAUUAGGACCAACAGCAGUCAAAUUAACAGCAGGACUAGAAUUCCGACUAUGAGUGCUUGGUGCAGUGAUAGUAACCGGGUUAGGGUUUGGAAAUGAAGAAUAAGUAACCGGAACGGUGGCAGUUCUUAUCGAAUCGGCCGAUAAACCUUGUGAAGUAGCUAUAGACUGUAAAUUGGGGGAACUAGACCAAAACCCUAAUCCAUCAGAUUUAGCAUUAAAAUUGAAAUGAGAGUCAAAGUUUGUACCCAAAUUGAACUUAUUAGAUCGUUCCACCGUGAACGGAACAGCCAACGGCGACAAACUUGAUGACGACGAUGAUGACGAUGACGACGAUGAGAAUAAUCCGAAACUCAUCAUUUCAUUACCUUGAUGGUUUCCCCAUUAGAACUUUGUGCACUCUGGGUUUGACCUUUGAGGGGUAA
rnacentral:lncRNA from 1 species